rnacentral:rRNA from 1 species
AUUGAACGCUGGCGGAAUGCUUUACACAUGCAAGUCGAGCGGCAGCGCGGGGGCAACCCUGGCGGCGAGCGGCGAACGGGUGAGUAACAUAUCGGAACGUACCCAGUCGUGGGGGAUAACUAUCCGAAAGGAUAGCUAAUACCGCAUACGUCCUGAGGGAGAAAGCAGGGGAUCGCAAGACCUUGCGCUGAUUGAGCGGCCGAUAUCAGAUUAGCUAGUUGGUGAGGUAAAGGCUCACCAAGGCGACGAUCUGUAGCGGGUCUGAGAGGAUGAUCCGCCACACUGGAACUGAGACACGGUCCAGACUCCUACGGGAGGCAGCAGUGGGGAAUUUUGGACAAUGGGCGCAAGCCUGAUCCAGCCAUGCCGCGUGAGUGAAGAAGGCCUUCGGGUUGUAAAGCUCUUUCGGCCGGGAAGAAAUCGCACAGGUUAAUACCCUGUGUGGAUGACGGUACCGGAAUAAGAAGCACCGGCUAACUACGUG